rnacentral:tRNA from 1 species
GCCGGUGUGGCUCAGUGGAUAGAGAGCCUCGGCCUGCGGACUCAAAGGUUCCAGGUUCGAUUCCUGGUCAAGGGCA